UCCCAAGAAACCUUCGGCUUCUGAGUCAAGAGGAGGGGUGGGGGGUGGCUGGGAGUUCUGGUCAGGUUCUCCCCAGGGAGGUCCUGCCUCCUAAACUAAGCUAUUUCGGCCCCGGGUGGAUUAGGCAGAGAUGUGACACCCCCUCCCCCCAGGUAGGGGCCACCAGCCAGCAUACCAAGUCCUGGGUAGGUCCUGGGCCAGUCUUGUUAGGCUGGCUCCCCUUGUCCUGACAUGGUAUGUGGAUCUGUGGUCAUUUCCUCUGCAGAAUAAAGAUUGCUCAGGCCUGCCUGG
rnacentral:lncRNA from 1 species